AUAUGGAAUGAAUGAAUAGAGAUUCUAUAUGUAAUGAAUGAAUAAAGAUUCUAUAUGGAAUGAAUGAAUAAAGAUUCUAUAUGGAAUGAAUGAAUAGAGAUUCUAUAUGGAAUGAAUGAAUAGAGAUUCUAUAUGUAAUGAAUGAAUAGAGAUUCUAUAUGUAAUGAAUGAAUAGAGAUUCUAUAUGUAAUGAAUGAAUAGAGAUUCUAUAUGUAAUGAAUGAAUAGAGAUUCUAUAUGGAAUGAAUGAAUAGAGAUUCUAUAUGUAAUGAAUGAAUAGAGAUUCUAUAUGGUAUGAAUGAAUAGAGAUUCUAUAUGGAAUUGUGUGAUCAUGUGAACAUAGGAGGUCCCAUACUGGGAAGAAAUGACAUCUACUUUCACCCGUGUGUGUGUGACUGUGAGAGUGAAGUCCUGCAUCUCACUCAUCUCAAUAACUGCAGUGCUGCUCGUGGCAACGUCAUUUAGCUGAGUUUACCUUUAAGGUGACAUUGUUGGAAGUGUCCAGGCCUUGGCAGAGCACCCUAAGCUGGGACUGGAAAUGGACCGUAAACCUGUUGGACUGCCAUGACCACUGGAAGCAUGUACUGAGGACCUGAAACGUACAACUGUCACUUCACUGCAGUACGUUUACAUAAGGAAAACCUCCCUGACCACUCCCUACAUCUUCCUGUUCUUACUGUAAACUGUGAGGGCUCACAACUGCACUGGCGAACCACCUGAGGAGGAAUUUAAUUUCUGUGACAUUCUGUUCUCUGAGAGAGGUUCUGUUCAAAGAAUUAGAAUGGAUGACUAAUCCUGAAUUCUAUGAUUCUGCUUUGGUUGGUGUCUGUCUCACACUAUGUGGGAGACUAAUGCAUUGGGUGGUGGCUUCAAAAAGAAGUCUAUGGUGUUAUUCUAUAACUAGCACAAGAUUUGCAAUGUUCAAAUUAGAUGUUUUUAUUGCCUGUCUAUUUUGUUGAAUCGUGUAACUCUUCUGAAAGUGAUGGUUUCUGAAAUAUGUAUACUGAUGUUAUUGAGAGAUGAAGAGUUCUAACUUCUACGUCGCUACUACCACAAUAUUUAGUCACACUUUACAUUAAGUUAAACUGCCAUGUGUGGUAUUACAUAAUAACUAAGCCAUUAUUUCAAAUAGAAUCUAUUCAGUUUCCUUUUGCAGUAUUACAAUUCAAAAUCAUUGGGUUAUGCACCUUACCAGCAGAUACCAUGCACAAUAUAUCAUGAAUCUACAUGAUACGUAAAGUGUAAAGUGUUGACCAAUUGUCUUGACCACUAGAUGACACAACAGGGCUGUAAUGUUCUACCUACUACAAGGACAGACAACUCUGAAACUUUUACUUGCAUCUUUGCACAGAAGUAAGUUGACACUAUGGACACCACGUACAUACAAAGCACUCUAAAAGCAAACAAACGGCUAUUGAAAUGGCAUUUUAAGACGUCACAUACUGUAUAUGGAAAGCAGCACUUCACACACACUGACCUUUUGACCAGGAAACAUGGAUAUUUCACCUUUUAAAGCAGAUUCCAUGAUAUGAUUUACAACCAUAUUGAUCGGUUAUAGUUGGUGUUCUUGACAUUUAUUCAACUUCCGUGUCCUUCCUUAUUUUCCUAUGUCUCCAUGGCCACCGAGUUCUAUUUAUAGGUGAAUGGCCAGUCCUGUCUGCUCCACUUCCUGUGUGUGUGGGGGGGGUACUUGAAUCCUGACCACCAGGACUCUGACCUCUUGACCUCUGCGUUAGUCUUUUUUUUUACGCAUCCCACACAACAACAACAUAGCCAGAUGGAUUACUUGAUGACUUCCUGGUUGGUUGCUUUAUUAGAUUCCAGAAUAAAACUCUGAUAUUGCAGGUCACGGUAUGUUGGGAUGUACGUUAGUGGAAUCAGGUUGUUACUAGCUGUGCUCUAUUAUUAUUUUCUACAGAUACCACUGUAUAUGUUUCCCAUCCUUCUCUGUUGUAUCACAAAAUAAUAAUAAUUUCACUACUGUUUGUGGCAGAAAGCACUUCCAUGUGAAAAAGAAUGGCACUAUAGAGCAAAUAAAACACAUUGAUUGAUUAUGAGUCAAUUCUGG
ensembl:lncRNA